rnacentral:lncRNA from 1 species
GUACCUGUUUUUUCAUUUAAAUACAACUUAAUCCUGGUAGAUUCCAUCACAAGAAUACAGCAGCAUGCAUGAUCUCAUUGGUCCUUUGCAGUUAUUUUUUCAUUAAAUAAUGUGAGUUUAAUAAAGUUAGAAAACUUUAUUAAGUUUUACCCAUUCUUACUGUGGGAUAAUCAUUCUUGUCAUAUCAGUGGCCCUUACAGCAAACUACACACUCCUUAUCACCCACAGUGAGAUUCUUCUCAUUCUCUUAACUGACUUGUUUAAGCUUUCCAAACUCCAAAAGGCAGAUGUGAAACUGGGCAUUCACUCUAACCAUUUUAUUUGGUGGAAAGUUGGAGAGAGACAUAUUUCUAUUCCAGUAGGGAACAUUUACAGUCCUAAACUUAAAAUAACCACAUUAAAGAAAUGUAUACAAUGUCCUAAUAGCAUCUAAUUACUUGAAGGGCUUUUCUCC